rnacentral:rRNA from 1 species
UACGGGGGGGGCAAGCGUUGUUCGGAAUUACUGGGCGUAAAGGGCUCGUAGGCGGCCAACUAAGUCGGACGUGAAAUCCCUCGGCUUAACCGGGGAACUGCGUCCGAUACUGGAUGGCUUGAGUUCGGGAGAGGGAUGCGGAAUUCCAGGUGUAGCGGUGAAAUGCGUAGAUAUCAGGAGGAACACCGGUGGCGAAGGCGGGUCUCUGGGCCGAUACUGACGCUGAGGAGCGAAAGCGUGGGGAGCGAACAGG